GCACUGCUGAGGAGUCCCAUACUAGGACGAAACGGCCGUCCACUGC
rfam:Schistosoma haematobium scaffold649_31, whole genome shotgun sequence.